CAUUCACCAUUUCUCAAAUACAAAGUUAGCAAGUAGCAAAUAAGGACUAUUCAUACAACAACGUUUGGUGAAACCUUUGACAUGAUACUCGAUGAUGCCAAGGGUACAAAGUUCACCCUUAUGUGAAAAAGGAUAUGAUGAACCGGGUCCUCAAAUUCAAGAGGAGAAGUCUUGCAAUUUAAAUUUGAAUUCAAUAUUCGAAUGUACCAUCUGAUUUUACAUGAAAUGUUGAGAUUAGAGGUUAGAAGCAACUCUGACCUCCUUAUCCUUCUAUGUGUGAGUUGACAGAUCGACAUGAACUUGAAAGACAUGUAGGCUGAGAGAACCAGCCAAAAUAAUAGUAUUACUUGACAAUCAAAUGACAUAAUCUCUUUUAACUUCAUAAUCCGUUAUUGCCCAACAAAUAUACUAUGAGCAAUCGAUCUAUGCAAAAUUCCAAUUCGAUGAAGAACUAGGACAUAUCAAAGAAUUGGGAUUCUAAAGCAUCAAGCAGUGAGAGAGCUCACGAAUUUGGAGGGCUCUUCUCCUCGAGAAGAAGAUGCCUCAAAUGCAUCUUUGGGGACGGAAGUGGAGAGAGAUCUCAUGGCAGUGUUUGCUCUUUAGUUGCUGACGGAGACAGAGAUGAAUGCAAUUGUGAAAAAAAAAAAUGUAUUGACAUAGUUAUAUGGAUUAUAUAGCAUAAUCAAUAAUAUCCAAAAAGCUUACAAAUAUAUGUAUAGAAUCAAAUCAAAUUAAGAAGUAGCAAACUCAAUGAGAAAAAGAGUUCUUACACAAUCGGAACUAGAAACUGAGGACUAACCUUGAAGAUAUAAAGAGUAGAUCUUUCCAUUCUGGUAACCAUUCGUGAUGAGAUGAGACAAAAUCGGAGGCAUAGAAUCAUUAUGUAUAACAUACAUGAUUGGAUGAAGAGAACAUGAUUGGUUGAUCCAGUGGAGGAAGGUGGUUAGAAACGGCCUGUUGGUAGAAACGAAGAAGAUUGGUAAGGGACCAAUUUUGAUGGUCACGGGGGAGGAACCGAGGAAGAGAGGAGGAGGAGGAGGAACCGAGGAAAAUGACUUUAC